GCUUUUAAAGGANGACAGAU
rnacentral:tRNA from 1 species